rnacentral:siRNA from 1 species
UAUCGAAGUUGGUCUCAUUACGGA